rnacentral:rRNA from 1 species
UACAGAGGGUGCAAGCGUUAAUCGGAAUUACUGGGCGUAAAGCGGGUGUAGGUGGGCUUCUAAGUCAGAUGUGAAAUCCCAGGGCUCAACCCUGGAAGUGCAUUUGAUACUGGAAGUCUUGAGUGUGGUAGAGGUUACUGGAAUUGUUGGUGUAGUGGUGAAAUACGUAGAUAUCAACAGGAAUACCGGAGGCGAAGGCGAGUAACUGGGCCAACACUGACACUGAGACCCGAAAGCGUGGGGAUCAAACAGGAUUAGAUACCCCAGUAGU